CCGACGGCUGCAGUCGCGGGAGGGAGCCCCAGGCCCGAGGGCCAGGAAGCGCCACUGGCUUGGGCUCUUCUCAGACCCAGCCCGGGUCAGCCACACUGGCAGCCGCCGCACCGCACCAUCGCGGGCCCGCCGCCAUGCUGGCGAGGACACAGCUGCCCGAGGGCUCCAGCCGUCCACGGGGAGCGACUGCGUAACCUACGUGACGGACGCCGGCGGCGCGGGCCUGGUUUUACUUCCUUGUCUGAGAAAUAGUCUUCCUAUGUAGUCCAGGCUGGCCUGGAACUUGCAAUCUUCCUGCCUCAGGCUCCUGAGUACUGGGAUUGUAGGCAUGUGCUACCAUGCCCUGCUGAAAAAUUGGCUUCUUCUUCUUUACCUACAUCUUGCCUGAUUUGCUUUGUGGUCAUAAAUGGAAAAUGUGCUGGCCAGCUGAAUUUUAAGCAAGAACAACAAUUUUCCUAUAUGAUUUGACAUGGACCUUAAAGAGUCAUUGUGCCUAGAAAAACAAAGUUGCUGUAACUUGGGUACUGGGGGAAGAAGAGGCAGAAAGUCUGGGUCUCCUCUCCAGUUAAUGGUAAUUUUGACUUUAAAAGCUAUAAGAAAAACUGAUGCCUGGAAAAGUCAGAGGGUUACUCCAGUUCAGACAGCAGCUCAAUAGCAGAAUCAAGAACAAACCUCCCCUCUCAGCCCUCUCUGGUAUGGGUCUUUGCACAGCCCCAGCCUUGAGGGUGUGGGGAUAAUUCCUACAUCUAGGACUCAGCUGGCACGUAUAGAAAGAGAUGCUGCAUGUCAAUGCCACUGUCCUCUUCACAUUCAGAAUGGGAGCUUCUCUGACACCUCAAAUCUCCAGUGUUUAUCUAUUUUAUAUCCAAUACUCACAUUGCUGGCUUGUGAACUUGUUAUCCUUGGAAGGUCACAAUUAUCUUUACAUUGUGGGAGGAACUCUGGGGAAUAAGCUUUUUAAUAUUCACAGAGC
rnacentral:lncRNA from 1 species